UACGGGGGGAGCAAGCGUUGUUCGGAUUUACUGGGCGUAAAGGGCGCGUAGGCGGCCACCGCAAGUCGACUGUGAAAUCUCCGGGCUUAACCCGGAAAGGUCAGCCGAUACUGCGGGGCUAGAGUGCAGAAGGGGCAACUGGAAUUCUCGGUGUAGCGGUGAAAUGCGUAGAUAUCGAGAGGAACACCUGAGGUGAAGACGGGUUGCUGGGCCGACACUGACGCUGAGUGCGCGAAAGCCAGGGGAGCAAACGGG
rnacentral:rRNA from 1 species